UCUCUGGUGGCUCAGAUGGUAAAGCGUCUGCCUGCAAUGCAGGAGACCCAGGUUCGAUCCCUGGGUCGGGAA
rnacentral:tRNA from 1 species